GAUCCUGGCUCAGAAUCAACGCUGGCGGCGUGCCUAACACAUGCAAGUCGAACGCGAAAGGGGCUUCGGCCCUGAGUAGAGUGGCGAACGGGUGAGUAACACGUGGGUGACCUACCCUCGAGUGGGGGAUAACAUCCCGAAAGGGGUGCUAAUACCGCAUGACAUCCUGCCUUUGAACAGGCGGAUAUUAAAGCCGGGGAUCGCAAGACCUGGCGSUUGAGGAGGGGCUCGCGUCCGAUUAGCUAGUUGGUGGGGUAAAGGCCUACCAAGGCGACGAUCGGUAGCCGGCCUGAGAGGGCGGACGGCCACACUGGGACUGAGACACGGCCCAGACUCCUACGGGAGGCAGCAGUGGGGAAUUGUUCGCAAUGGGCGCAAGCCUGACGACGCAACGCCGCGUGGAGGACGAAGAUCUUCGGGUCGUAAACUCCUUUCGAUCGGGACGAAUGGCUGGCGGUCUAAUACACCGCCGGAGUGACGGUACCGAGAGAAGAAGCCCCGGCUAACUCCGUGCCAGCAGCCGCGGUAAUACGGGGGGGGCAAGCGUUGUUCGGAAUUACUGGGCGUAAAGGGCGCGUAGGCGGCCUGUUAAGUCGGAUGUGAAAUCCCUCGGCUCAACCGAGGAACUGCAUCCGAUACUGGCGGGCUGGAAUCCGGGAGAGGGAUGUGGAAUUCCAGGUGUAGCGGUGA
rnacentral:rRNA from 1 species